rnacentral:rRNA from 1 species
UGGUGCAUGGUUGUCGUCAGCUCGUGUCGUGAGAUGUUCGGGUUAAGUCCCGCAACGAGCGCAACCCUCGACCUUAGUUGCCAGCAUUCAGUUGGCACUCUAAGGUGACUGCCGGCUAAAAGUCGGAGGAAGGUGGGAUGACGUCAAAUCAUCAUGCCCCUUAUGACCUGGGCUACACACGUGCUACAAUGGGCGGUACAAAGGGUCGCGAACCCGCGAGGGGGAGCCAAUCCCAAAAAGCCGCUCUCAGUUCGGAUUGCAGGCUGCAACUCGCCUGCAUGAAGCCGGAAUCGCUAGUAAUCGCGGAUCAGCAUGCCGCGGUGAAUACGUUCCCGGGCCUU